ACAUGCAAGUCGAGCGGAUUGAUGGGAGCUUGCUCCCUGAUAUCAGCGGCGGACGGGUGAGUAACACGUGGGUAACCUGCCUGUAAGACUGGGAUAACUCCGGGAAACCGGGGCUAAUACCGGAUAACUCAUUUCCUCGCAUGAGGAAAUGUUGAAAGAUGGCUUCGGCUAUCACUUACAGAUGGACCCGCGGCGCAUUAGCUAGUUGGUGAGGUAACGGCUCACCAAGGCGACGAUGCGUAGCCGACCUGAGAGGGUGAUCGGCCACACUGGGACUGAGACACGGCCCAGACUCCUACGGGAGGCAGCAGUAGGGAAUCUUCCGCAAUGGACGAAAGUCUGACGGAGCAACGCCGCGUGAGUGAUGAAGGUUUUCGGAUCGUAAAGCUCUGUUGUUAGGGAAGAACAAGUGCCGUUCGAAUAGGGCGGCACCUUGACGGUACCUAACCAGAAAGCCACGGCUAACUACGUGCCAGCAGCCGCGGUAAUACGUAGGUGGCAAGCGUUGUCCGGAAUUAUUGGGCGUAAAGCGCGCGCAGGUGGUUUCUUAAGUCUGAUGUGAAAGCCCACGGCUCAACCGUGGAGGGUCAUUGGAAACUGGG
rnacentral:rRNA from 2 species